GGUUAAAAGCCCAAGGUAAAAAGAAGAAUGGGCCUGGCAAUAGAGUUGAUUGAACUGACUGAAGGACACCAUGAGGAAAUCAAGGAAAAUAGGUUUAUUUCUAAGGAAAGUCCUCAGGACGGAAGGAUCUCAGGUCGGUAGGUCCUCAAGACGGAAAGACUUCAGGUCGGAAGGUCUUCAGGUCGGUAGGUCCUCAAGACGGAAAGACCUCAGGUCGGAAGGUCUUCAGGUCGGGAGGUCCUCAAGACGGAAAGACCUCAGGUCGGAAGGUCUUCAGGUCGGGAGGUCCUCAAGACGGAAAGUCAUCAUGACGGAAGGACCUCAGGUCGGUAGGUCCUCAAGACGGAAAGACCUCAAGUCGGAAGGUUUUCAGGUCGGGAGGUCCUCAAGACGGAAAGACCUCAAGUCGGAAGGUUUUCAGGUCGGGAGGUCCUCAAGACGGAAAGACCUCAAGUCGGAAGGUUUUCAGGUCGGGAGGUCAUCAAGACGGAAAGUCAUCAGGACGGGAAGUCCGCAGGUCGGGAGGCCCUCGGGACGGGAAGUCUGCAGGUCGGGUGGCCUUCAGGACGGGAAGUCCGCAAGUCGGGAGGUCCUCAGGUCGGGAAGUUCUCAGGUCGGAAUUCUGCGGCAGAACCAACAAGUCAGAUGGUUUGC